UUGGCCAUAUGACGGUGAAAUACCGUUUCCCGUACGAUAACCGAAGUUAAACAACGUCGAGCAUGGUCAGUACCUAAAUGGGUGACCGCUUGGGAAUAGCACUUGCUGCAAG